UGAACCGCAUGGUUCAGACAUAAAAGGUGGCUUCGGCUACCACUUACAGAUGGACCCGCGGCGCAUAGCUAGUUGGUGAGGUAACGGCUCACCAAGGCGACGAUGCGUAGCCGACCUGAGAGGGUGAUCGGCCACACUGGGACUGAGACACGGCCCAGACUCCUACGGGAGGCAGCAGUAGGGAAUCUUCCGCAAUGGACGAAAGUCUGACGGAGCAACGCCGCGUGAGUGAUGAAGGUUUUCGGAUCGUAAAGCUCUGUUGUUAGGGAAGAACAAGUGCCGUUCAAAUAGGGCGGCACCUUGACGGUACCUAACCAGAAAGCCACGGCUAACUACGUGCCAGCAGCCGCGGUAAUACGUAGGUGGCAAGCGUUGUCCGGAAUUAUUGGGCGUAAAGGGCUCGCAGGCGGUUUCUUAAGUCUGAUGUGAAAGCCCCCGGCUCAACCGGGGAGGGUCAUUGGAAACUGGGGAACUUGAGUGCAGAAGAGGAGAGUGGAAUUCCACGUGUAGCGGUGAAAUGCGUAGAGAUGUGGAGGAACACCAGUGGCGAAGGCGACUCUCUGGUCUGUAACUGACGCUGAGGAGCGAAAGCGUGGGGAGCGAACAGGAUUAGAUACCCUGGUAGUCCACGCCG
rnacentral:rRNA from 1 species